rnacentral:tRNA from 1 species
GAGGGUUGGCUGAGUGGUUUAAGGCGCCGCACUCGAAAUGCGGUGGGGGUAACCCCGCAGAGGUUCGAAUCCUCUACCCUC